CAGCUCUCAUGCCACCGAUCCAUCCACCACGGCGCGAUCGAAACCAGAUCGGUCCACAACCCAUCCAGCCCGUCCAUCUCCCUAUCCGACGGCCGCCGCCGCCCCUGCGGCACGUGCUGCAUGCCGAGCCAAAGCCAGACAGCAGGCAGUGCCGAAAACUGCACCGUCUACCACUAUUCUACUCCCAUCCCGUAUAUAUUUACUACUCCGGCCUAAAUAAAUAAAUGCGGGCAUGAUGAUGAGGCAUAAAAAGCCAGCCAACGCACCAAAAGCCACCCUUCUUUAAUUUGCACCCUCCCCAAAUCUCCUCCUCCGCCCUCCCCAUCUCCGUCUCCUCCUCCUCCN
rnacentral:lncRNA from 1 species